ACGGAAGGCAGCAGUGGGGGAUAUUGCACAAUGGGCGAAAGCCUGAUGCAGCGACGCCGCGUGAGGGAAGACGGUUUUCGGAUCGUAAACCUCUGUCUUCGGGGACGAAAAUGACGGUACCCGAGGAGGAAGCCACGGCUAACUACGUGCCAGCAGCCGCGGUAAUACGUAGGUGGCAAGCGUUGUCCGGAAUUACUGGGUGUAAAGGGAGAGUAGGCGGGAUUGCAAGUCCGUUGUUAAAUCUAUCGGCUCAACCGAUAGCUGCGGCGGAAACUGUAGUUCUUGAGUGAAGUAGAGGCAGGCGGAAUUCCUAGUGUAGCGGUGAAAUGCGUAGAUAUUAGGAGGAACACCAGUGGCGAAGGCGGCCUGCUGGGCUUUAACUGACGCUGAGGCUCGAAAGUGUGGGGAGCAAACAGGAUUAGAUACCCUGGUA
rnacentral:rRNA from 1 species